GCGCUAACAGAUGAGCCCAAGUCGGAUUAGCUAGUUGGUAGGGUAAUGGCCUACCAAGGCUACGAUCCGUAGCUGGUCUGAGAGGACGACCAGCCACACUGGGACUGAGACACGGCCCAG
rnacentral:rRNA from 1 species